rnacentral:rRNA from 1 species
AGCAGCCGCGGUAAUUCCAGCUCCAAUAGCGUAUAUUAAAGUUGUUGCAGUUAAAAAGCUCGUAGUUGAAUUUCGGGAUCAAUUUAUCGGUCGUGCCAAUGGUAUGAACUGGUACAAUUGGUUUCUCCCUUCUGACGAAACAUGAUGUCAUUAAUUUGGUGUCGUGGGGAAUCAGGACUGUUACUUUGAAAAAUUAGAGUGUUUAAAGCAAGCAUUAGCUUGAAUACAUUAGCAUGGAAUAAUGAAAUCGGACGUUUGAUCCUAUUUCGCUGGUUUCUAGGAUCGACGUAAUGAUUAAUAGGGAUAGUUGGGGGCAUUAGUAUUCAAUUGUCAGAGGUGAAAUUCUUGGAUUUAUUGAAGACUAACUACUGCGAAAGCAUUUGCCAAGGAUGUUUUUACAUUAAUCAAGAACGAAAGUUAGGGGAUCGAAGACGAUCAGAUACCGUCGUAGUCUUAACCAAUAAACUAUGCCGACUAGGGAUCGGAUGAUGUUAAUUUUUAAUGUACUC